AUUGAACGCUGGCGGCAGGCCUAAAACAUGCAAGUCGAGCGAGCGGCGGACGGGUGAGUAAUGUAUGGGGAUCUGCCCGAUAGAGGGGGAUAACUACUGGAAACGGUGGCUAAUACCGCAUACCAUCAGAUGAACCCAUAUGGGAUUAGCUUGUAGGUGAGGUAAAGGCUCACCAAGCCGACGAUCUCUAGCUGGUCGGAGAGGAUGACCAGCCGCACUGGGACUGAGACACGGCCCAGACUCCUACGAGGGGCAGCAGUGGGGAAUAUUGCGCGAGGGGGGCAACCCGGACGCAGCCAUGCCGCGUGAGUAAAGAAGGCCUUCGGGUUGUAAAGUUCUUUCGAUAGCGAGGCGUUAACUACAGAAGAACCACCGGCUAACUCCGAGCCAGCAGCCGCGGUAAUAC
rnacentral:rRNA from 1 species